GCAUCUAAAGUUCAUACGCAAGUAUUUUGAUGGCAACAAUACAAAACCCGAAGGCCCAGGGGUCAUACAACAAGUCACACAUUCAAAACGAAUACUGUGAAAUCAUUAUUUUCUGAUGUUGUUCAGCAGAAUUCAAGAUAUUCAAUAAUAGCACACAGCAUUUUAUGGGAAACGUGAUUUAAUUCUUAAAAGAUUGCCCACGGUAGCAAAGUUGAUAAAGAUACAGACUAACAUAACAAAGGUUUUGGUUUAUUUGAACAUGGUUCCAGUGUGGAAAACAAUGCGACAAGUCACUGCAGCAUGAUUCAUUUAAUACAAACAACAUUGAAGGAUUUGAACAGAGAUAUGAGCAUUUGUGAAUCUAAAGUGACAUACAUUGAAUAUGCUAUGACUAUCCAAAUAGUGUAAGGCCUUCAUGUGUGUUUUUUCCUUUUUAUUUACUUAAAUUAAAAACAGGGACAUGUAUGAGCUAAUAAAAGCCACCUUAAAUGGCUGUUAAAUAUAUACAGAAAAAGGACGGGAUAAAAGUUUACAAUCACAUACCCUGAACUGCAGAGUAAAAGUCUGUACCAUGUUAUCGUAAAUCAGAUUAAUAGUAACACCUUUAAAAACUUUGCCACAGUAUACAGGAGUAAUUUAAGACACCAAUCAGUUUAGCUGAAAAGCUAACAGUAGGUCUGUUGGCCACGUGCACAGUAAAAUCAUACUCUUAUGUCUGUAGUGCUUUAUAAAGGCACACAACACGAAACAUAGUGUAUAUACGCUUGGAUGUCAGUGUGUUAGGUACACUUAGCUAAAAUUAAUGCAGUCUGAUGUUACCACUGUGCUGCCCUACCAAGACAGUUAAACCUCUGAAUCCCAAAACCCGCCGGCAGGUUUUACGGGCAUAUUGUGCUUAAAAUAAUAAUAAUGAUAAUAAUUAAAAAUCACCCAAAUUACACCACUUACCACAGCCAGAAACUGAAAAUGGAAAGAACUGUCGCACUUUUAGAUUUCCGACUAUCAUUGAACUACCUGUCUGUGCCAUGCUGUUUUGGUGGGAAACUUAGUAAAAUCUAAGCUUAAAGUCAGAUUUAAUAAAGAUCACUUUAUUCUUUUUUUAAAAAAUGCAAAAAAAAAAAAAAAAUGAUCAUAUGGUCAUACCAGAUUCUGUUAAAAACUGAAAAUUGUCUUCCUUGGCGCAACUGUGAAGCCAUGACUAACUGAGCUGCAACCAACAGUCGCGUAAUAAAAAUUCUGUGACUUUCCUGCUGAACUGCAGGUGCAAAGCUUUUUUCCCCCAGUAUUGGUUAAAUUCUAUGGGCACUUGGAAAAUUGUUAGACAUGUUAAUUCAAGGUUUUCUCUACUUUUGUAAAAAAAGAAAAAAAAAUUAAAUUAAAAAAGGCAAAGAAAUUUGACUUUGAAAAGAUAUCUUUAAGUUCUGUGUCCUUUUAGUCAUGGUUGUGCUGUUUCCAGAGGCGCAGGACAUUAUGUUGUUUUGAAAAAUGAGCCCACAGUGACUGAAAAAGUGGCAAAACACCUAGAGACUGCUUGGAGUUAAGAAGAAACAAAAACUGGACAUUAUAAUCUUGAUGAGGGGUGACUUACUGCAGGCCUGGUUCGUGAGACUGCAUUAAUCUUAGAAAAGUGAACCUAAUAAACUGCCAA
ensembl:lncRNA